UGCCCAGAAACUCCUAUCCCUACCUCCUCGUGGUACUGGCCGGGGUACGAGUAACCUUUGGGAAGAUCGGGUAACCAACCCCCGGUGGGAACUUUGGUCGUAUGCUGACAGGGAAGG
rnacentral:ribozyme from 1 species